GACGAACGCUGGCGGCGCGCUUAACACAUGCAAGUCGAACGGAAAGGCCUGCUUUCCCUUGUGGAUUGCGGGUACUCGAGUGGCGAACGGCUGAGUAACACGUGAGUGAUCUGCCCCAAACUUGGAAAAAAGCCUGGGAACUUGGGUCUAAUUCCCGAUGGGCUUGCGGGGGGGUGCCGGUGGGGGAAAUCGUUUUUCUGGUGGUAGGGUAUGGGCUCGUGGCCUAUGAGCUGGUCGGGGGGGAAAUGGCGUCCCAAGGGGGCUAAGGGUCGCCGCCGUGAGGAGGUGGACGGGGACAUUGGGACUGAGAUGCGGCCCAGACUCUGACGCGAGGCAGCAGUGGGGAAUAGUGGACAAUGGGGGGAAUAUUGAUGCAGCGACGCCGGGUGGGUGAUGACGGGCUGCGGGUGGUAAACUCCUUUCGACGGCGAGAAGGCCAUCUGGUUGGAAUGGUGGUGACGGUAGUGGGAGAAGAAGCACCGGCUAACUCCGUG
rnacentral:rRNA from 1 species